rnacentral:tRNA from 1 species
UCCCUGGUGGUUCAGUGGCUAAGACUCUGAGUUCCCAAUGGAGAGGGCCCAGGUUCAAUUCCUGGUCAAGGAG